rnacentral:rRNA from 1 species
UACGUAGGUGGCAAGCGUUGUCCGGAAUCAUUGGGCGUAAAGCGCGUGUAGGCGGUUCGGUAAGUCUGCUGUGAAAGUCCAGGGCUCAACCCUGGGAUGCCGGUGGAUACUGUCGGACUAGAGUACGGAAGAGGCGAGUGGAAUUCCCGGUGUAGCGGUGAAAUGCGCAGAUAUCGGGAGGAACACCAAUUGCGAAGGCAGCUCGCUGGGACGUUACUGACGCUGAGACGCGAAAGCGUGGGGAGCAAACAGG